UACGGAGGGGGCAAGCGUUGUUCGGAAUUAUUGGGCGUAAAGGGCGCGUAGGCGGCCGGCCAAGUCGGGUGUGAAAUCCCUCGGCUCAACCGAGGAACUGCACUCGAUACUGGCUGGCUCGAGUCCGGGAGGGGAUGGUGGAAUUCCCAGUGUAGCGGUGAAAUGCGUAGAUAUUGGGAAGAACACCGGUGGCGAAGGCGACCAUCUGGACCGGAACUGACGCUGAGGCGCGAAAGCCAGGGGAGCGAAUGGG
rnacentral:rRNA from 1 species